rnacentral:rRNA from 1 species
UACGUAGGGGGCGAGCGUUGUCCGGAAUUAUUGGGCGUAAAGAGCGUGUAGGCGGUUCGGUAAGUCUGCCGUGAAAACCCAGGGCUCAACCCUGGGCGUGCGGUGGAUACUGCCGGGCUAGAGGGUGGUAGAGGCGAGUGGAAUUCCAGGUGUAGCGGUGAAAUGCGCAGAUAUCGGGAAGAACACCCGUGGCGAAGGCGGCUUUCUGGGACGGUACUGACGCUGAGACGCGAAAGCGUGGGGAGCGAACAGG